rnacentral:rRNA from 1 species
GACGAACGCUGGCGGCGUGCUUAACACAUGCAAGUCGAACGGAAAGGCCUCUUUCGGGGGGUACUCGAGUGGCGAACGGGUGAGUAACACGUGAGUAACCUGCCCUUGACUUUGGGAUAACUUCAGGAAGCUGGGGCUAAUACCGGAUAGGAGCUCCUGCUGCAUGGUGGGGGUUGGAAAGUUUCGGCGGUUGGGGAUGGACUCGCGGCUUAUCAGCUUGUUGGUGGGGUAGUGGCUUACCAAGGCUUUGACGGGUAGCCGGCCUGAGAGGGUGACCGGCCACAUUGGGACUGAGAUACGGCCCAGACUCCUACGGGAGGCAGCAGUGGGGAAUAUUGCACAAUGGGUGGAAGCCUGAUGCAGCAACGCCGUGUGCGGGAUGACGGCCUUCGGGUUGUAAACCGCUUUCGCUCAUGACGAAGCUUUGUGUGACGGUAGUGGGUAAAGAAGCACCGGCUAACUACGUG